GAUGAACGCUGGCGGCGUGCCUAAUACAUGCAAGUCGAGCGAACGGACGAGAAGCUUGCUUCUCUGAUGUUAGCGGCGGACGGGUGAGUAACACGUGGAUAACCUACCUAUAAGACUGGGAUAACUUCGGGAAACCGGAGCUAAUACCGGAUAAUAUUUUGAACCGCAUGGUUCAAAAGUGAAAGACGGUCUUGCUGUCACUUAUAGAUGGAUCCGCGCUGCAUUAGCUAGUUGGUAAGGUAACGGCUUACCAAGGCAACGAUGCAUAGCCGACCUGAGAGGGUGAUCGGCCACACUGGAACUGAGACACGGUCCAGACUCCUACGGGAGGCAGCAGUAGGGAAUCUUCCGCAAUGGGCGAAAGCCUGACGGAGCAACGCCGCGUGAGUGAUGAAGGUCUUCGGAUCGUAAAACUCUGUUAUUAGGGAAGAACAUAUGUGUAAGUAACUGUGCACAUCUUGACGGUACCUAAUCAGAAAGCCACGGCUAACUACGUGCCAGCAGCCGCGGUAAUACGUAGGUGGCAAGCGUUAUCCGGAAUUAUUGGGCGUAAAGCGCGCGUAGGCGGUUUUUUAAGUCUGAUGUGAAAGCCCACGGCUCAACCGUGGAGGGUCAUUGGAAACUGGAAAACUUGAGUGCAGAAGAGGAAAGUGGAAUUCCAUGUGUAGCGGUGAAAUGCGCAGAGAUAUGGAGGAACACCAGUGGCGAAGGCGACUUUCUGGUCUGUAACUGACGCUGAUGUGCGAAAGCGUGGGGAUCAAACAGGAUUAGAUACCCUGGUAGUCCACGCCGUAAACGAUGAGUGCUAAGUGUUAGGGGGUUUCCGCCCCUUAGUGCUGCAGCUAACGCAUUAAGCACUCCGCCUGGGGAGUACGACCGCAAGGUUGAAACUCAAAGGAAUUGACGGGGACCCGCACAAGCGGUGGAGCAUGUGGUUUAAUUCGAAGCAACGCGAAGAACCUUACCAAAUCUUGACAUCCUUUGACAACUCUAGAGAUAGAGCUUUCCCCUUCGGGGGACAAAGUGACAGGUGGUGCAUGGUUGUCGUCAGCUCGUGUCGUGAGAUGUUGGGUUAAGUCCCGCAACGAGCGCAACCCUUAAGCUUAGUUGCCAUCAUUAAGUUGGGCACUCUAAGUUGACUGCCGGUGACAAACCGGAGGAAGGUGGGGAUGACGUCAAAUCAUCAUGCCCCUUAUGAUUUGGGCUACACACGUGCUACAAUGGACAAUACAAAGGGCAGCGAACCCGCGAGGUCAAGCAAAUCCCAUAAAAGUUGUUCUCAGUUCGGAUUGUAGUCUGCCACUCGACUACAUGAAGCUGGAAUCGCUAGUAAUCGUAGAUCAGCAUGCUACAGUGAAUACUUUCCCGGGUCU
rnacentral:rRNA from 1 species